UGGUAGAACAUUCUAGAGUAGAA
rnacentral:miRNA from 1 species